UCCCUUGUGGCUUAGCUGGUAAAGAAUCCACCUGCAAUGUGGGAGACCUGGGUUCAAUCCCUGGGCUGGGAA
rnacentral:tRNA from 1 species